GACGAACGCUGGCGGCGUGCCUAAUACAUGCAAGUCGAACGCAGUGGGGACGGGUGAGUAACACGUGGGUAACCUCCCCUCAGAGGGGAUAACACUUGGAAACAGGUGCUAAACCGAUACUGAUGGAUGGACCCGCGGUGCAUUAGCUAGUUGGUGAGGUAACGGCUCACCAAGGCCACGAUGCCUAGCGGACCUGAGAGGGUGAGCGGCAACAAUAAGACAGACACCAGGCACAGACUCCUAGGGUAGGAAGAAGUAGGAAAUCUUCGGCAAUGGACGAAAGUCUGACCGAGCAACGCCGCGUGAGUGAAGAAGGUUUUCGGAUGGUAAAACUCUGUUGUUAGAGAAGAGGAAUCUAACUAGAAAGCCACGGCGGACUACGAGCCAGCCGCCGCGGUAAUAC
rnacentral:rRNA from 1 species